AGAGUUGAUCUGGCACAGAAUCAACGCUGGCGGCGUGCCUAACACAUGCAAGUCGAACGAGAAAGUGGAGCAAUCCAUGAGUAAAGUGGCGCACGGGUGAGUAACACGUGACUAACCGACCCUUGAGUGGGGGAUAACUGAGGGAAACUUUAGCUAAUACCGCAUAAUACCUACGGGUCAAAGGAGCAAUUCGCUUAAGGAGGGGGUCGCGGCCGAUUAGUUAGUUGGCGGGGUAAUGGCCCACCAAGACAGUGAUCGGUAUCCGGCCUGAGAGGGCGCACGGACACACUGGAACUGAAACACGGUCCAGACUCCUACGGGAGGCAGCAGUGGGGAAUUUUGCGCAAUGGGGGAAACCCUGACGCAGCAACGCCGCGUGGAGGAUGAAGUACUUCGGUACGUAAACUCCUUUCGAUCGGGACGAUAAUGACGGUACCGGAAGAAGAAGCCCCGGCUAACUUCGUGCCAGCAGCCGCGGUAAUACGAGGGGGGCAAGCGUUGUUCGGAAUUAUUGGGCGUAAAGGGUGCGUAGGCGGUUUGGUAAGUCUUGUGUGAAAUCUCCGGGCUCAACUCGGAGACUGCACGAGAAACUGCCGGGCUUGAGUGUGGGAGAGGUGAGUGGAAUUCCCGGUGU
rnacentral:rRNA from 1 species